UACAGAGGUCUCAAGCGUUGUUCGGAUUCAUUGGGCGUAAAGGGUGCGUAGGCGGCGCGGUAAGUCGGGUGUGAAAUCUCGGAGCUUAACUCCGAAACUGCAUUCGAUACUGCCGUGCUUGAGGACUGGAGAGGAGACUGGAAUUUACGGUGUAGCGGUGGAAAUGCGUAGAUAUCGUAAGGAAGACCAGUGGCGAAGGCGGGUCUCUGGACAGUUCCUGACGCUGAGGCACGAAGGUCAGGGGAGCAAACGGG
rnacentral:rRNA from 1 species